AAGAACGUGGUGUAACUGGAUAACACAUCGCUCUACGAAACCGAAGAGUGAGAGUUCGACUCUCUUCAUUCUUGCCA
rnacentral:tRNA from 1 species